rnacentral:misc_RNA from 1 species
UGGAAAAGAACACUAAGUCGUUGGCCGGCGCCGGCAUGUUAUUCGUUUUCUUGGAGCUGAACUUCGGAACUUUUGUAUACAUGGAAGUGGAUAUAUUCUAAGACGAAAAAUAUACGGAGCAGAUCCCCCCAACCCGUACUCCGAGAUGACAUUAGGAGAAAAAAAAGAGAAAAGGCAAAGAAUUAUUGCACCUCCAUGUGUCAAGGGGAUAGCGCGGUUGUUGGAAGCCUUUGAAUAUAAUUUUAUUGUACAUACAUGCAGUUUUCAAAUAAAGAAAUACACCAAAAACGAAAUUUACUAUGAUUACAAAUUGCAGUUAUUACAGCCUUUCCGUUAGCAGAAAAAGUGUUUCGUAGGCUGUCAUGGUCAAAUAUAACCAUGGCCUCAGUCAGUUCACGAUUCGUGCAGGAUGCCGGCUUGAUGAGUCAGUCCUUGGCGAACUGUACUUGAUACAGCGAUUAUCGACUACAAUUCAGUCUGCUGUCACUGCAUAACACAAUUGGCAUCAUAAUUCCUAUUAUAGUCGGCGGAUUAACGACGGCGAGAAGAAAAGCAAAUGACGAUGACAGGGGCCAAGUGAAUGUUUAUCGGCAUAUCGAAACCCACAUGUCUGUACAGUAGUGGUAUAAUACAUUACCGCCACUUACCAUGUCGUCCUCAGCGCUAAGAAAAAUUAUAAAAGCACGUUUCUUGUUAAGUACAGAAAAGAACUUAGUUAGAGGCGUGGUUUGUCAGUACAGUCAGGAGGCUCCUGUGGAAACUGUACAAGAUGUGAAAAAUCGUCUUAUAGAAGUCAUGGGGAUUCAGCGCAGCUACAAGCCAUUACCGCUGAGUCGGAGUCAUUUGCUGGAGUACCUACCAAAGAGCCAGGAUGAACUUCCUGUUAGGAAGAUGAAGGAUAGCUUUUCCAGUGUAGUAAUUCCACUGAGCACAGAUAUAACACUGCAAGAAAAGUAUGUGACAUUUCUUGGGCAUGUACGGCUGGGGAGACUUAUGGAGGACAUGGAUAUAUUUGCAGCUUGGGUGGCUCACAAGCACAUCUUGAACCCAAGAAAGCCAGCUGGACAACCAACACCAUAUGUAAUUGUCACUGUACUUGUUGAUCAAAUUGAUUUCACUGACAUAACUCCUAAGCACGAUGGUGAUAUCAGAUUGUCGGGGCAUGUAUCAUGGGUUGGGAAGUCCUCAAUUGAGGUGACUGUGUGGCUGGAACAGUUAUUGCAUGGUUCUUGGCAGAAACUGACUAGAGCAGUUUUCCUCAUGGCAGCUCGAAAUUCUAUUUUAUCCGGGCCAGCAAUAGUGAACCUUCUUGAGCCCGAAACUGAAGAAGAAAAGGAAAUAUUUAGAGGUGGUGAAUUAAGGAAGAAACGACGUGUAAAAGUACAGCAGGAAUCACUUUUCAAAAUGACACCAGAUGUUAAUGAGCAGAGAUUAAUCCAUGACCUUUUCCUGAAAACAAUUGAUCUACAUAGAAUGUCGUUCCACAAAAGAAUUCUGCCUCCCAGGAGCUUAUGGAUGGAAGAUGCACAACUCAGCAAUAUUGUUUUUAGUCACCCCGAAGACCGUAACCUGCACAACAAGGUUUUUGGGGGCUUUCUUAUGCGACAGGCUUUAGAACUCUCUUGGACUGCUGGUUAUUUGCACAGCAAAUUUCGCCCCAGAUUGUGUCACAUAAGUGACAUCAGUUUCCACAAGCCAGUUGAUGUUGGAUCACUUCUUCGAAUGAACUCCUUGGUUACAUAUACAGAAUGCAAUUAUGUGCAGAUAACAGUUUAUGCAGAAGUGUUUGACCCUCGUGGAGGGCAGCAAAAUACAACUAAUGUGUUUCAUUACACGUAUGAAAUGCCUGAAGAAGUGCCACAGAUAAUUCCAAAAUCCUAUCAGGAGGCAAUGAUGUACCUGGAUGGCAGACGACAUUUUCAGCAUGUGAUGGGUCUUUCUGACAAUACACAUAGUUCAACAGCCACAUAAACUUGCUUUGGUCAUCUUAUUUGCUAAAUUAUUCAUUCAUUAAAGCGCUCUCUCUCUCUCUCUCUCUCUCUCUCUCUCUCUCUCUCUCUCUCUCUCCACACACAAAAUGUACUUAAUGCCAAUGUGGACUAUGUGUCAGCUUAACCUCCCUAAUAGUUUUUGUGCUGUAACAUCAUGUUGGCAUCUCUGUCAGUAUUACUUAAUGAAGGUAACAUAAAAUUUUGAAAAUUUUGUUAAGUGUCUGAGAAUAUUGAUGUAAAUACAUGUUCCAGCAAGAAUGAGAAAACGAUAUCACUAGUCAUUGAAAGCAUUUGUUUGGAACAUACCUUAUCAGAAAAAGUGCACAAAGUAUAGAGUGUAGUGGUAUGGUGAUCCAAAAAAUAACUAAGUUUCAGACUUGUACUAAUGUUGAUAUAUAUAAUGAGCUGUCCAUAUAAUGGCUAUUGUUACUAAAAUAAAGAGCAGCUUACAUGUGAA